UUACCUUUUCUGAUACUUAUUUGUUGUUUAUACAGUUUGUAUAGUAUUUUUUUUUGCUUUUACAGUUCGUAGUUAUAAAUUUGGGAAGUAUAUGUGUUAGCUAUUGGUUUUGAAAUUUUGAAAAAAAAAAGACUUUUUUUAAUUCCAGUAGUUAAACUUUUAGAUUCACAUAGGUAUUGUAUUUGGUGAAGUUAGUUUGAAUUUAAUUGCUUUGUUGUUGGUAAAAAUUGUUUUCUUUGAUAGAAUAUAGGAGAUGUUUUAUGA
rnacentral:lncRNA from 1 species